AUGCAUUUUUAUGUCAAGGAGAAUGGAGAAAUGCAUAGAAAAAUAUGUCUCAGGCACAAAGGAAGGAAACUUUUAUGCUGUUGACUACGCGGGUCACAAUGAAUUUCAACUCAUUAGAGGGGACGAGAACACUCUCUUAACGCACACUGUCAAUGUGGAUGAACAUGGCAAGGAGACAGA